CAAAUUAAUUCCCAUCUACCCCGUAGACUAACUCUACCCUACGCAGAGAGUCUUUCCCAUUUUCUUAGUUCGCGCAACCUCUGAACCCCCUCUCUCACUUGGUCUUCAAAUUCAAUCGCUCUCUCAAGUCUCUAACUCUUUAUCUCUCACUCUCUCAAACUCUUUGUCUCUCUGUCGCAAAAGAUCGAGGUAUUGAUGUUUGAUUCCCUGAAUGGUAGAACCUGCUUGCAUACGCUGCUUACUAUGGCCAUUUAAUUGCCUUCAAGCUAUUGUUUCUGCUACUCAUUCGAGUUCUGUUUCUGUUUCCUGGUCGGUUUCCUUUUAGUCCAUAGUGGUUUGAUCCCCUUAGUGAUUAAUCUGGCUAUUUUCUUAUUGUUGAAGAAGAAGGAAAAAAAUAAAAAUAAAAAAAACCGAAACUGGGCCGAAACCGAACCGGAUCAAACUCAGUGGGAAUUUUUUUUUUAAUUUUAUAUAUAUUUUAUUUAUUU